rnacentral:rRNA from 1 species
GAUGAACGCUGGCGGCGUGCCUAAUACAUGCAAGUCGAACGGGGAGUAGCAAUACUCUUAGUGGCGAACGGGUGAGUAACGCGUUGGUACCUGCCCCGAAGCGGGGGAUAACGGACCGAAAGGUCCGCUAAUACCCCAUGUGCUCGGUAACGAGUAAAGGUGAAAACCACUUUGGGAGGGGCCUGCGUCCCAUCAGCUAGUUGGUAAGGUAACGGCUUACCAAGGCGAUGACGGGUAGGGGACCUGAGAGGGUGGCCCCCCACAAUGGAACUGAAACACGGUCCAUACACCUACGGAUGGCAGCAGUAGGGAAUAUUGGGAAUGGGCGCAAGCCUGAACCAGCAACGCCGCGUGUGCGAUGACGGCCUUCGGGUUGUAAAUCACUUUUGACUGGGACGAGGAAGGACGGUACCGGUCGAAUCAGCCUCGGCUAACUACGUG